CUUCAGUGAUGAUACGAUGACGAGUCGGAAUGGGAUUAUGCUUCUUAAAUGUGUCUGUGUCCAGAGUCAUGUUCUAUGCCUCUGAGCUUGGGCCCUUUGAGUAGAGGAUCCCUUUCACUUGAAGACAUUGAGGCAUUUGUCUGAGAAGG